GACGAACCGUGCGAACGUUGUUCGGAAUCACUGGGCUUAAAGGGCGCGUAGGCGGGCUGGCAAGUCCGGGGUGAAAUCCCACGGCUCAACCGUGGGACGGCCUCGGAUACUGCCGGCCUGGAGGCGGGUAGGGGCGGGCGGAACUCUGGGUGGAGCGGUGAAAUGCGUUGAUAUCCAGAGGAACUCCGGUGGCGAAGGCGGCCCGCUGGACCCGGUCUGACGCUGAGGCGCGAAAGCCAGGGGAGCGAACGGG
rnacentral:rRNA from 1 species